UAAGAACGAUCAUCAUGGCCAAACAUUAAUUUAAAUUUUAUCAGACCAGAGCUCCUGUCUUUGUCCAUGAGUGCCUUUACUAACUGUAACCUGGCUUUUUAUGCUGCUUUUGCACUAAUAGCCUCUUCCUCUGAGUGAUCCAUGACUGAGUCGCUGGGUUAAGCCAGCAUCUUCACCAGAUCCUGUUGAGCUGCAGCUUUCAUUGAGGGCUCAGGGUUGAGUCAGUUGUUCUCCCCGCUGCACAUGCUAAGGUGCACAGGACAUAUCAAGGAGAGCCAAGGAUCAUACAGUGCGUUAGUGUUUUAGACACUAGGAAAUGUGCGCCAUAAUGACAGUGAGUGUAAAUGAACAGGGUGGGAGCUGGAGUCUGAGUAAUUCAGACCCUCCUACAGGGAGAUGAGCGUUACCUCGUCUGCCAGGUUAAUCUGGAUCCCUGCAGGUCAGACUGCGCUGUUUCAGAUGGAUGACGUCACAAAGGAUUGUUGUCGUCACCAGAUAGUUUGAUGACACACGGGGCUCAGGGCACGCGUCUGAGUUUGCUCUUAUCAGUUCAGGCCAGAAGUCCGUCACUAACGCACUGUAGCUGGCAGCGGUUUUGGCCUCCGAGCAAAUAUUCGCUUCACUUCAGCAGUUCACCCCGACUUUUUUCACCUUAACAGUUGAUUUUGCUUCAGGGUUGGUACACACUUUGCACUAAAAACCUGUUCCUCUCUGGAUGUGAAACCCAUCUCCUUGGCUGGAUGUCCCCACGCUGCCAUGUUUGAUUUAGCCUCUUCAGGCAUCUGGUAAAGAUACCGAGGGCUGACUCAGGCUAGGAGAAAUCCACAAGUCUCUUCUGUGAUAUCCUGGCUGACUUCUUCUGCACCGCAAAAAAGGAACUCAAAUGUGAGUUUUCCAUGAGGGCAGCAGUGAGUUUUAGGUGUCGCCUUAAAACAGAUCCACAGGAGUGUCUACAUUUAACUCAAAUAUAAUAAACAGACGGCUACUACCCACAACAUCAUUACCUGGGCUUCUCCUCAUUGUUUAAAGGAGUUUGAAUUGAACAAUAAAAGCAAAAACAUCCAAAAUGA